rnacentral:rRNA from 1 species
UACGUAGGGUGCAAGCGUUGUCCGGAAUCAUUGGGCGUAAAGAGCGUGUAGGCGGCCUCGUAAGUCCGCUGUGAAAGUCCAGGGCUCAACCCUGGGAUGCCGGUGGAUACUGCGAGGCUAGAGUCCGGAAGGGGCGAGUGGAAUUCCUGGUGUAGCGGUGAAAUGCGCAGAUAUCAGGAGGAACACCGGUGGCGAAGGCGGUUCUCUGGGCCUUACCUGACGCUGAGGAGCGAAAGCGUGGGGAGCGAACAGG